GCGCCUGUAGCUCAGUGGAUUAGAGCAUCAGACUACGAAUCUGAGGGUCGGGAGUUCAAAUCUCUCCAGGCGCG
rnacentral:tRNA from 4 species